UGGAGAACCCCAUGAAAGGACCCAAGCACCACCACCGUGAGCUCCACCACGCAGAGGACGCCACCGGCACAUCACCCUCUCAUUUUCCUUGGGUACGAAUAACGGAAGCGCUUGACGACGAAGCCAAAGAACAAACGGAAGUGAGCCAACACGGGAAAGCAAAGAUAUGACUGGAUUUGAUUUGAGUCGCAACUUAGUAAGGAAAGCGCCUAAGACGACGAAAGGAGGUGAUGUAAGCAGAUGCUACUCCACGUGGAAGAUCUAUAGAAGACUCGAAGAAUAGAGUCGGGUGUAGGGCUAGAGCCUUUGGAUAGAAAAACUUACCGUUAUUGGUUUAAGCUUGUAGGAUAAUUUUAUGAUUCGCAUUUGAGGUUUUGGGUAGGUUCCGGUGCAUUGCUUUCCUAUGGUUACCCGGUGUGGAAAUCAUAGGGAGUAUAUCGGAUCUAUGGAGUCAUUGCAUAGUGA